rnacentral:rRNA from 1 species
UCCAACUUGAGAGUUUGAUCCUGGCUCAGAGCGAACGCUGGCGGCAGGCUUAACACAUGCAAGUCGAACGGGCGUAGCAAUACGUCAGUGGCAGACGGGUGAGUAACACGUGGGAACGUACCUCUUGGUUCGGAACAACACAGGGAAACUUGUGCUAAUACCGGAUAAGCCCUUACGGGGAAAGAUUUAUCGCCGAGAGAUCGGCCCGCGUCUGAU